UACGUAGGGGGCAAGCGUUGUCCGGAUUUAUUGGGCGUAAAGAGCGUGUAGGCGGCCUGACAGGUCUGCUGUGAAAACUCGAGGCUCAACCUCGAGAUGUCGGCGGAAACCGUCUGGCUAGAGUCCGGAAGAGGAGAGUGGAAUUCCUGGUGUAGCGGUGAAAUGCGCAGAUAUCAGGAAGAACACCCGUGGCGAAGGCGGCUCUCUGGUACGUGACUGACGCUGAGACGCGAAAGCGUGGGGAGCAAACAGG
rnacentral:rRNA from 1 species